GACGAACGCUGGCGGCGUGCCUAAUACAUGCAAGUAGGACGCACAGUUUAUACCGUAGCUUGCUACACCAUAGACUGUGAGUUGCGAACGGGUGAGUAACGCGUAGGUAACCUGCCUAUUAGAGGGGGAUAACUAUUGGAAACGAUAGCUAAUACCGCAUAACAGUAUGUAACACAUGUUAGAUGCUUGAAAGAUGCAAUUGCAUCGCUAGUAGAUGGACCUGCGUUGUAUUAGCUAGUAGGUAGGGUAAUGGCCUACCUAGGCGACGAUACAUAGCCGACCUGAGAGGGUGAUCGGCCACACUGGGACUGAGACACGGCCCAGACUCCUACGGGAGGCAGCAGUAGGGAAUCUUCGGCAAUGGGGGGAACCCUGACCGAGCAACGCCGCGUGAGUGAAGAAGGUUUUCGGAUCGUAAAGCUCUGUUGUUAAGGAAGAACGAGUGUGAGAAUGGAAAGUUCAUACUGUGACGGUACUUAACCAGAAAGG
rnacentral:rRNA from 1 species